GACGAACGCUGGCGGCGCGCCUAACACAUGCAAGUCGAACGGAGCUGAGAGAAGCUUGCUUUUCUUAGCUUAGUGGCGAACGGGUGAGUAACGCGUGAGUAACCUGCCCUGGAGUGGGGGACAACAGUUGGAAACGACUGCUAAUACCGCAUAAGCCCACGAUCCGGCAUCGGAUUGAGGGAAAAGGAUUUAUUCGCUUCAGGAUGGACUCGCGUCCAAUUAGCUAGUUGGUGAGGUAACGGCCCACCAAGGCGACGAUUGGUAGCCGGACUGGGAGGUUGAACGGCCACAUUGGGACUGAGACACGGCCCAGACUCCUACGGGAAGCAGCAGUGGGGGAUAUUGCACAAUGGGGGAAACCCUGAUGCAGCGACGCCGCGUGGAGGAAGAAGGUUUUCGGAUUGUAAACUCCUGUCGUGAGGGACGAUAAUGACGGUACCUAACAAGAAAGCACCGGCUAACUACGUG
rnacentral:rRNA from 1 species